rnacentral:tRNA from 2 species
GAUAAAAUGGCUGAGCUUAGGCGAUAGAUUGUAAAUCUAUUAACGAGGUAAGAACCCCUCUUUUGUCA